ensembl:snRNA U2 U2 spliceosomal RNA
AUCGCUUCUCGGCCUUUUGGCUAAGAUCAAGUGUAGUAUCUGUUCUUAUCAGUACAGUGUUUUUAAAAAGAAAAAGCCUUGACUCUACUCAACAUCCACAGGGGCCAUUACUAUGUAUGACACCAGGCACACCUGUAACUUCAUGUGACAAACU